AAUGAACGCUGGCGGCAUGCCUAACACAUGCAAGUCGAACGAGAACUCCGGGUCUUGUGGCGCACGGGUUUGUAACGCGUGGGAUCCUGCCCUCAUGGUCGGACUAACUCUCCGAAAGGGGUGCUAAUACCGGAUAAUGUCUUCGGACCAAAGAUUUAUCGCCUUUGGAUGGGCACGCGUUGGAUUAGCUAGUUGGUUGGGUUAAAGCCUACUAAGGCGACGAUUCAUAGCUUGUCUGAGAGGAUGAUCAGCCACGCUGGGACGAAGACCCGGCCGGGACUCCUACGGAAUGGAGCAGAGGGGAAUAUAGGAAAAUGGGGGAAGGGCUGAUGCAGCAAGGCCGGGUAAGUGAUGAAGGCCGUAGGGUUGUAAAGCUCUUUUACCCGGGAUGAUAAUGACGGUACCGGGAGAAUAAGCUCCGGCUAACUCCGUG
rnacentral:rRNA from 1 species